rnacentral:piRNA from 1 species
UGACAUGGCAAGUCAUUUUCAAGAGA